CCAGAGCUAUUACGUCUCACCGAGGAAGGGUUGGGAAAUUCACUGCAUUAUGCAUCAUCCAUAGGUUUUCUGGAAGGAGUUCGAUUGCUAUUAGAGAAGUUUCACGAUGGUGCUUAUGAAACCAACCUUGAAGGCAACUAUCCUAUCCAUGUAGCAUGCAAAAGUCACUCUGUUGAUGUAGUGAAGGAAUUUCUUGAUAUAUUCCCAUAUCCAAAAGAAUUCCUCAAUAAGAAAGGGCAGAACAUUCUUCACGUAGCGGCCACAUAUGGAAAUGGCAGUGUGGUUAGGUACAUACUCAAACAGGACCAGAAGCUCGUCGCACCGCUGCUAAAUGCGAUAGAUGAGGAUGGAAAUACACCUUUGCACUUGGCAGCAUUUUAUGGCCGAUGCACGGCUACAUUUCUUCUUGUGCGUGACAAUCGUGUUGAACAUUUCAUUGUUAACAAUGAAAAUUGGACACCAUAUGAGUUGGCUGAAGAACGUUCCAAAAUAUCUGAAGAGCAAUACAUAAAAACAGAUGAAAUGGUAUGCUAUUAAUUUGAUCAUCAUUUAUCGAGUACAAAAGUCUAUAUAUUUUAGUAGUAUUACUGAUUUAAUAUUUUGGUAUCUGGUCUUCCUCUUUGUUGCCAGCGUGCCAAGGAACGAAAGCAGUUUGAUUCAAAGAAUAGCACCCCUGCGCUCGAGAUCAAGGUAUUUACGUUUAGGAUUAUAUAUGAUAAGUUUUUUAUUUAAGAAACAAUAUUUUAUAUAAAACACUAUCCAAAAAAAAAGAGGAUGGAUUAAUAAAAAAAAGUUUUUUUAUUAAAUAGAUAUCUUUUUUAUCUUUAUUUCAAUAAAAUCAUGAAAAUUUUUGUCGAUAUUUAUUAUUUUUAUAUUUGCUUUUAGUUCUAAAAAAAUAUUUAUUUUUUUUCAAGAAAAUCAUCCAUUCAUUAUUCUUUUAUUUUUUAAUUAAAACUUAUUUAUAAGAUUAAUUAUGAUAGGUUGUUAUUAAAAAAAAACAAUUUUAUAAAAACAUUAGUAAAAAAAAGGAACAUAUUAAUAAGGAAAAUGGUUUUGAUUAAAAAAAAAUAUAGAUACCUUUUUUAUUUUUAUUUCAAAUUAAUUUAAAUUAUUUUUUUAUCCUAUAGAAUUUAAAUUAUUUAAGAAAAUUAAUUUUUAUUGUCAUGUAAUUAAAUAAAAAAAUUAAAAGUAUCUCGCAACACGAAAUAAAAAAUCUUCAAUAUAUAUUAUUUUAAUCAAAACCAUUUAAUCUCAAAUGACUUUUUUUCAAACAUGAACCAGUUUCAUUUGCUUAGAUUGUUGUCUAGCCAUAGCACACAGAAAGAGCACUGCAUUUUAACAUAUAUUAUUAUUAUUAUUAUUUUGACAGGACAAAGAAGUUGAUUCAAAUAAGAUGGAUACAAAAAAGGCAUCACCAAGGGACGAAAUAAGGGUUGUGUAUUUACGAUUGGUAUUAUUGCUUCUUCUUUUUUCCUUGCCAUCCCUAAUCUUUUAACAAAACAAUUGAUUUAACUCGUAAACCAUUAUAUUAAAAAAUUCUAAACCAUUCCAGAAAAUUACUUGUUCUGGGAAAGGCAUUCGAAGGUUAACGUUUUUGGAUGCAAUUGAGGAAGUGCCAAGAACUCAUUAAACAAUUAAGUUUUUUCCCCCGUGCUAUAUAUAUAUAUAUGCAGGUGACAACAGUAUCGAUCUUAUUCUUCAAUGCCUGCCCUAAGAAAUCCCUCAAGGAGCUUUUCCCUGUUACUCGACUACCCAUGUCACGAGCAAAAGAGGAAAUGAAGAGCAUGGUAGGGAGUCUUCUGGUGGUAACAGUUCUUGUUGCUGGUGUAACCUUUGCAGGUGCUAUACAAUUGCCACAAUUAAGGGAUAAAAAUAACUCAAGUGAAUUCAACAGCACUUAUGAGAAUCUUCUGUGUGGUUAUUUAUUUCUCGAUGUGGGGGCUUUAUCUACCUCUCUGGUAGCAGCUCUAAUCCUUCUCUGGUCAAACUUUAAUUAUCCCAGAUAUCAAAUCCCUGCAGUUCAGAUUUCAACCUCCAUGGUUUGUUUGGCUAUUAUCAUGAUGUUCGGAGCAUUCUUUUUUUCUGUGAGAAUAGCAUUGCUAGGAUCCCAUGGUGGGUUGUUAACAAUCAUCGUAGAAGUGGUGGCCGUUAUGUUUUUCUUUGCUCAGGCAUGCUUUGUUUUUCCUUGGAUUAUCCCGCUAAAUUUCAACUAUGUUCUUCUACAGGUUCUCUUGCACAAUUUCUACUACAGCCUUUUUUUAUUGUUUAUCUACAGUAGCUGGUGGCUGCCUAAUAAACUCUCUGAUCUCAAGAGAAAGCACCAUCUUUAGUAAGAUCAGAGGUCGGGAUUUUGGGGGAUAACAUCUUGGAUUGUGUCUGUCUAGCGAUUGUGGUAAUAAUUUGAACUUGUAAUAACUCAUGAGUUUCCAAUUGAAUGUAUGCGCACUUCUACUUUUUUUAUUUUAAGCAUGCAUUUACUAGACUCCUUUUGUUGUUGUUGGAUUCAGUUAAAAAAAAUUAAAUCAAAUAUUCAAAUUAAGAUAUUGUUAUUUGUGGAGAAUUAAAGACAUCAACUUGGUUAAAAACAACAAACAUCCAUCCCAUCCCUGCUCUAAUUUGAAUCAAUAAGGUUAAUAGGUUCAAGGCAUUUGCUUUAGAUUUGACAUCACCCUUGAGUAGAUAAAAAGAGAACUGCAGGAUUUUUUCGAGGUAGAAGGACGAGCAAUUUAAAAAAAUGUUUUGUUCUAACAAAUACAGCAAAACACUACCCCACCAUCAAUAGAAGAGAACAUAAUAGUACAGAUUGUGUCCCACGUUAUCAAAAUAAAACAAAAAAAACAUAUUAUUUUAAUAUAUUUUAACAAAAAUAAUAAUAAUAAUAAUUACCAUACUAUUAAACAACCCUCCAUACUGAUUAAAAAAACAAAAAAAGAGCAAAGGAGAAGAGACCUCCUGUUUUUCCUCCCUCCCCUUUUCAAGUAUGAUCAGGUCAUUUUCAAGCUUGCAUUUCAGACUGUUUCUGUUGCAACCUUUCACUCUAUCUUUUGCAAGCUUUGAGACUAUUAUAGAAGUGGUUUUUUCAAAGGGGCUUUAAAUGAUGACCACCUUGAUCGCGAGGAUUCUCUCUUUAUUGAAUGGCCUUUUAGGCCUCAUUCUUGUCUGAUAUUGAUAAUACAGAGGAAAUAAAAGACAAGACGGUUCGGCAAGGUGGUCAUCAUUAUCUAAAAGAACCACUUAUAUAAUAGUGUCAAAGCUCGCAAAAAGUCGCAAAAGAUAGAGUGAAAGGUCGCGACAGGAACAGUCUGAAAUGCAAGCUUGAAAAUGAUCUGAUCGUAGGAUGUCAAGUCUUGUCUUGUGUUAAAUAAUAUUUAUGUAGUCUUAUUUAUUAAGGGUAGAAUAAUAUUUUCAGUUUAACCUAUAUAUACUUUGUUUGUAUUUAGGUUAAGACUAAGCACUCAUAAUAUACAUAUUAUUCAGAAUUCUAGUCUCCUUUUCGUGUUUGAGCUUAAUUAUUUUAACAUGGUAUCAGAGCUGGUUUUAUGGAACGAGGCUUAAUCCCGAACACAGCUUCGCGGAUCCAACUUAUCUGCAAUUAUUUUUUGGACUGAGAUUUUGUCUUCCGCUUCUGCAAAAUUUGAUAUUUCGUCAGUUUCUGCAAUUAUUUUGGUAUUUCGUCUUCCCUUCAGCUUCUGCAAUUUGGUAUUUGCGUUCAGUUUCUGCAAAUUUGUUCUGUGUUUUGGAGUAAUCGUAUAAUUUUGAGAAGAUAUUUGUUUAGUUUCUGCAAUCUCUGUUCAGUUUCUGCAAUUUGGUAUUUUGUUUUCCGCUGCUUUUGCAUUCUGGUUCUCUGUGAUUGUUGAUUAUGGCUACUGAACGAGAUGAUUCGCUUCAGUCUGUGAGUGUGAGGUUGGAUGGGAAGAACUAUUCGUAUUGGAGCUAUGUAAUGAGAAAUUUUCUUAAGGGUAAGAAGAUGUGGGGAUAUGUCAGUGGAGCUUAUGUGGUACCUAAGAAUACUGAAGAAGGAGAUACUGCUUCGAUAGAUGCAUGGGAAGCAAACAAUGCAAAGAUCAUUACUUGGAUCAACAAUUCUGUUGAGCAUUCUAUAGGUACACAGUUGGCGAAGUAUGAGACAGCAAAGGAGGUUUGGGAUCAUCUGCAAAGGUUAUUCACGCAAUCAAAUUUUGCAAAACAGUAUUAGUUAGAGAAUGACAUACGAGCUCUUCACCAGAAGAAUAUGAGUAUUCAGGAGUUCUAUUCUGCCAUGACAGAUCUUUGGGAUCAAUUAGCUCUUACAGAAUCGGCAGAAUUAAAAGCAUGUGGUGCUUAUAUUGAACGUAGAGAGCAGCAACGAUUGGUACAGUUUUUAACAGCACUUCGCAAUGAUUUUGAAGGACUUAGAGGUUCAAUUCUGCAUCGUUCUCCACUGCCUUCUGUUGACUCUGUUGUCAGUGAGUUAUUGGCUGAAGAAAUACGUCUUCAGUCUUAUUCUGAAAAGGGAAUUCUUUCUGCUUCAAAUCCUUCUGUACUAGCAGUACCUUCUAAGCCAUUCUCUAAUCAUCAGAAUAAGCCUUACACAAGGGUUGGCUUCGAUGAGUGCAGUUUCUGUAAGCAUAAAGGUCAUUGGAAGGCUAAGUGUCCUAAGUUGAGACAACAGAAUCAAGCUUGGAAGUCUGGCAGUCAGUCACAAUCUAAUGUUCAUCGACCACCUCAGGGUUAUAAACCACCACACCACAAUACUGCAGCAGUAGCUUCACCAGGCUCUAUUACCGAUCCUAAUACUUUGGCUGAACAAUUUCAGAAGUUUCUCUCCUUGCAGCCACAAGCAAUGUCCGCUUCUUCCAUAGGUCAGUUGCCUCAUAGUUCCUCAGGUAUGUCACACUCUGAAUGGGUCCUGGAUUCUGGUGCUUCCCAUCAUAUGUCUCCAGAUUCCUCAUCUUUUACCUCUGUGUCCCCUUUAUCCUCCAUUCCUGUUAUGACUGCUGAUGGCACUCCUAUGCCCUUAGCAGGUGUUGGUUCUGUUGUCACACCUCACUUGUCUCUCCCUAAUGUUUAUCUUAUUCCAAAACUCAAAUUGAAUCUUGCGUCUGUUGGUCAAAUAUGUGAUUCUGGUGAUUAUUUAGUCAUGUUUUUUGGUUCUUUUUGUUGUGUACAGGAUCUGCAGUCUCAGAAGCUGAUUGGGACAGGCCGUAGGGAGAAUGGACUAUAUAUUCUGGAUGAGUUAAAAGUGCCAGUUGCUGCUGCUGCCGCUGCUACUACUACUGUUGAUUUGUCUUCCUUUCGUUUGAGUCUUUCAUCUUCUAGUUUUUAUUUAUGGCAUUCCCGUCUAGGUCAUGUUUCGUCUUCUCGUUUGAGAUUUUUGGCAUCCACAGGAGCUUUAGGAAAUUUGAAAACUUGUGACAUUUCAGAUUGUAGUGGAUGUAAACUGGCAAAAUUUUCUGCUUUACCUUUUAAUCGAAGUAUUUCUGUUUCAUCUUCACCAUUUGAUUUGAUUCAUUCUGAUGUAUGGGGACCUUCUCCUGUUGCCACAAAAGGAGGGUCUCGAUAUUAUGUCUCUUUUAUUGAUGAUCAUACUCGUUAUUGUUGGGUUUAUUUAAUGAAACAUCGUUCUGAAUUCUUUGAGAUAUAUGCAGCUUUUCGAGCUCUUAUCAAAACUCAACAUUCUGCUGUGAUCAAAUGUUUUAGGUGUGAUUUGGGUGGGGAAUACACCUCUAAUAAAUUUUGUCAAAUGCUUGCCUUAGAUGGAACCAUCCACCAAACUUCAUGUACAGAUACUCCUGAGCAAAAUGGUGUUGCUGAAAGAAAACAUAGGCACAUUGUCGAAACUGCUCGUUCUCUCUUGUUGUCUGGUUUUGUUCCUAGUGAGUUUUGGGGAGAAGCUGUUCUUACUGCUGUAAGUUUGAUUAAUACAAUUCCAUCUUCUCAUAGUUCGGGUCUAUCUCCUUUCGAAAAGUUAUAUGGGUAUGUCCCUGAUUAUUCCUCAUUUAGAGUCUUUGGUUGUACUUGUUUCGUUCUUCGUCCUCAUGUAGAACGCAGUAAGUUAUCCUCUCGAUCCGCUAUUUGUGUCUUUCUGGGUUAUGGUGAAGGUAAAAAGGGGUAUCGUUGUUUUGAUCCAAUAACUCAGAAACUUUAUGUGUCUCGUCAUGUUGUCUUCCUUGAGCAUAUACCUUUCUUUUCUAUUCCAUCCACUACUCAUAGCCUGACAAAAUCUGAUCUUAUUCAUAUAGAUCCUUUUUCUGAGGAUUCUGGUAAUGAUACCUCUCCCUAUGUUCGAUCAAUUUGUACUCAUAACUCUGCAGGUACUGGUACUUUACUCUCUGGCACACCUGAAGCUCCAUUCUCAUCUACAGCCCCUCAAGCUUCAUCUGAGAUUAUGGAUCCACCUCCACGUCAGUCCAUCCGCAUUCGUAAGUCCACAAAACUACCAGAUUUUGCUUAUUCUUGUUAUUCUUCAUCAUUUACUUCCUUUUUAGCUUCUAUUCAUUGUCUCUUUGAGCCCUCUUCCUAUAAAGAGGCAAUUCUUGAUCCGUUUUGGCAGCAAGCUAUGGAUGAGGAACUUUCUGCUUUGCAUAAGACAAAUACUUGGGAUCUGGUUCCUCUACCUCCUGGUAAGAGUGUUGUUGGUUGUCGUUGGGUGUAUAAGAUCAAGACUAAUUCUGAUGGGUCUAUUGAGCGAUACAAAGCUAGGCUGGUUGCAAAAGGAUACUCUCAACAGUAUGGUAUGGACUAUGAGGAGACAUUUGCCCCGGUUGCAAAAAUGACUACUAUUCGUACUCUUAUUGCCGUAGCUUCGAUUCGUCAGUGGCAUAUUUAUCAGCUUGAUGUUAAAAAUGCCUUCUUGAAUGGAGAUCUUCAAGAAGAAGUUUAUAUGGCACCCCCUCCUGGUAUUUCACAUGACUCUGGAUAUGUUUGUAAGCUUAAGAAAGCAUUAUAUGGUCUCAAACAAGCACCCCGUGCUUGGUUUGAGAAAUUCUCUAUUGUGAUCUCGUCUCUUGGCUUUGUUUCUAGCAGUCAUGAUUCCGCUUUUUUUAUUAAGUGCACUGAUGCAGGUCGUAUCAUUCUGUCUUUAUAUGUUGAUGACAUGAUUAUUACUGGUGAUGAUAUUGAUGGUAUUUCAGUUUUGAAGACAGAGUUGGCUAGACGAUUUGAAAUGAAGGAUUUGGGUUAUCUUCGAUAUUUCCUGGGUAUUGAGGUAGCAUACUCACCUAGAGGUUACCUUCUUUCUCAGUCGAAAUAUGUUGCAGAUAUUCUUGAGCGGGCUAGACUUACUGAUAACAAGACUGUAGAUACUCCUAUUGAGGUUAACGCAAGGUACUCUUCUUCUGAUGGUUUACCUUUGAUAGACCCUACUUUAUACAACACUAUUGUUGGGAGUUUGGUAUAUCUCACCAUUACUCGUCCAGAUAUUGCAUAUGCUGUUCAUGUUGUUAGUCAGUUUGUUGCUUCUCCUACUACUGUUCACUGGGCAGCUGUUCUUCGUAUUUUGCGAUAUCUUCGGGGUACAGUUUUUCAGAGUCUUUUACUUUCAUCCACCUCAUCAUUGGAGUUGCGUGCAUACUCUGAUGCUGAUCAUGGUAGUGAUCCCACAGAUCGCAAGUCUGUUACUGGGUUCUGUAUCUUUUUAGGUGAUUCUCUUAUUUCUUGGAAGAGCAAGAAACAAUCUAUUGUUUCUCAAUCAUCCACCGAAGCAGAAUAUCGUGCCAUGGCAUCUACUACCAAAGAGAUUGUUUGGUUACGUUGGUUACUUGCUGAUAUGGGAGUUUCCUUUUCUCAUCCUACUCCUAUGUAUUGUGACAACCAGAGUUCUAUUCAGAUUGCUCAUAACUCGGUUUUUCAUGAGCGCACUAAGCACAUUGAGAUCGAUUGUCAUCUUACUCGUCAUCAUCUCAAACAUGGCACCAUUGCUUUGCCUUUUGUUCCUUCUUCCUUGCAGAUUGCAGAUUUCUUUACCAAGGCGCAUUCCAUCUCUCGUUUUCGUUUUCUGGUUGGCAAACUCUCGAUGCUUGUAGCUGCCGCAUCGUGAGUUUGAGGGGAGAUGUUAAAUAAUAUUUAUGUAGUCUUAUUUAUUAAGGGUAGAAUAGUACUUUCAGUUUAACCUAUAUAUACUUUGUUUGUAUUUAGGUUAAGACUAAGCACUCAUAAUAUACAUAUUAUUCAGAAUUCUAGCCUCCUUUUCGUGUUUGAGCUUAAUUAUUUUAACAUCAUGAACCUUUAAACAUUAUUGCAUCAAAUUAGAGCAAGGGUGGGACGAUGUUUGUUGACUUUAUCGUAAUGCAACGUGGUCAAUGCUUGGCCAUAUCCUUGUUCUUGUUGAACUUGUUUUAAGGGGUGAUUUUGGGACGGCCAUUUUAAUACUGUUAAGACCAACCAAGUUGAUAUCUUUAAUUAUUGAAAUUAAAGACAUUGUUGGCCUAAAUUGUUUCAUUUAUGGACAGUGGAUAACAAUAUUAAAGCUAGGAUAUCAUUUGGUUCUGGAACUUGUUUCGGUUCCAUCCCUUGUAAAAUCUUCAUAUAAGUGAGAGCUCUUAUCAUUUGUGGCUCGCUCUAAACAUUCUCAAUCACCUUACCAUUUGUGGCUCGUUGUGAUCAUUUCAACCAUAUUGUCCACCUUUCUGAUCUUGUUUGUCCCAAAACCGUUGUUCAUUGUCAAGAUUUCUAAUUAUUAAUUUUGCAGAUUUUCUUGUUACGUUCUAAUCACAACUCAGUGUAAUUCUUUUAAUCUAACCAUUUCCUCCCUUAUUUAUAUUAAAUAAUCCAUAACAUAAUCAAACAAAAAAUAAAAAAAGAUAAAAAGAUAUAAAUAAUGAUCAUGUCAUUUAAGUUGCUUUAAAUUUUAUAAUAAUAAAAGAUUUAAAUUACGUUAAUACUCUGAUUAAUUUUCAGUUGAGCCCUUUUUCUGAGAACAAACUAACAAAAUCAAGUGAUAUAAUUUAUAUUAGUACUUUAAAAAAUUUAGUAUAAUUAUAAAUUUAAUUAAUUGAGUGGAUAGGGUUUCUGUUAUAGACAAGGAUGCGGCUGCUAGGUGAACAUGGCUUGGCAAAGCAUCAACUUUUAUCAUACGGUACAUGCUUUGCAGUUGAUUCUUUUGUUGUUUUUUAAUCCUUUCCUUCCUCUCUACUUUUCUCUUGGCAAACAAAUUGAUUUCUUGUUCAUCAGUUGAUAAUGUUCAAAAAUCCAAUAUGUUUAAGAAAAAGGUUUUUGAGUGUUUGAACAAUGAAUAAAUAUCAUUUACACAUCAUUAAUGAGAGAUAAAUAUCUCUUACACAAUAUUUAAUACUGAUGAAAAUAUAGUAGGUUCUUAGAAGAUUUUUAUACAUUUAGGAGUGUGGAGAGAUGAGUAUUCUUAACAUUAACAUUUCAUGUUAAAAAUCAUAAGAAUAAACAAAGAAAGCCUUAUAGCCCAACACGAGACUUAUGAUGAUCUUUAAACUUAUACCCACUUAGGCUUGACAUGAUGUUAAGUCCACUAGCAAUGGGUCUUGCAGCUUGCCAGACCCACAUCCGUUUAGACUUAACAUACAAUUAAAUCCAAGGAUGUUGGGUAUGACAAUUUACCAAACCUAUAUGUACUUAAUCUUAGCAUAUAGUUAAACCCGUGGAUAUUGGGUCUGAUAGCUCACUAAACCCAUGCAUGUUUAGGCUCAACACGUGAUUGAACCCAAGAUCAUUAGGUUUGGUAGUUUGACAGACCUAUAUGUACUUGGUCUUAGCACAUAGCUGAUCCCAAUGAUGUUGUGUUUGGAAGCUUGCCACACAAAAUUUUUUGGGCUUAGCACGUAGCUGAGCCUAAGGAUAUUGGAUUUGGUAACUUGCCAGACUUAUAUAUGCUUGAGCCUAGUACAUAGUUAAACCCAAGAAGUUUAGGUCUAACAACUUGUUAGACCCAUAUUUUUUUUAGCUUAGUGCAUAGCCGAACUUAAUAUCAUUGAGUCUGACAGCUUGCUAGAUCUAUAUGUACUUAGGUUCAACACGUAGUUGAACCCUAGGAUAUUGGGUUUGACAGCUUGAUAAAUCCACGUCUGUUUGGGCUCAACAUAUAGGUGAAUCCAAUGUGUUGGAUCUAACAGCUUGUCAUACCCAUAUAUACCUCGGUUUAGUGUGUAGGUGAUCUCAAUGAUGUUUAUUUACCUUUUUUAUGACGUUUCAACUUUGAUAGCUUAAUGAAAUUUACUUUGUAAAUCAUAUAGUGUCCUUGAUAUAUCCAAGUUGGGGAAUUGAUACUUUUUUUCUUGUCACUCUUUAAAGGAUGACUUUUUCUUUUCACCCUUUUGAAAAGCAUUUAGUGUUGCAUAAUCAUUCCUUUUACCUCUAGUUGGUACAUUUAUGACAAUGAAGUUAAUUACCAAAGAUUGUUUUCCCUGAACCUUUGAAGUGCUCUUUUCAAAUCUAUGACUUUCAGACUUAUUUUUCUUAGGCUCUUACAUAGGUAAUGAUAAGGUUCCAGCUGUAGCAAUAUCAAGUCUUAUGUUGUGUGCUAUGGUAGCUAAUUCUUUAAAAGAUUUAGGUUUUUAAUGCUUUAUAGAAUAUAGCACAGCCCCUAAUGCAUCCCUUUAAUGCAUAUAUCUAGAGUAGAACUUUUGAUGAGUUGAUCUUUACAAUUGAGGCUAAGAUUUUUCCAUUAAUGAAUGUAGUUAAUGACAUGCGCCUUUAUUUAUUAAUAUGCAUUGAUAAGUUCAAUCAUGCUAACCAUAUGAUGAGUGUUGUAGAAACAUAUGUUUCAAUUGCUCCCAACUAUAAGUGAAAAAAGACUCCAAGUCAAUGUACUAGUCAGGCAUUGCAUAUUAAGGAAUGAAUGAAUUUUUUUACCAUGAGAUCACCAUCAAUUCUAGUAUUGUUACAAGUCUCUAUAGAGUAAGCAACAUGUUGCCUUAGAUUCCUUUUGCUAUCUAAUUGUUGAAACUUUAGUGGUUGAUAACUCAAAAGCAUCAUUAACAUGCCAAUCAUUUGUGUGUAUGGCUUUGCAUAAGAAUAUAAAGGUUAAACUAAAAUUUCUAUUUGGUCUAUGAUGACCUUCGUGAUUUGAUUUUUCAGUUGAUUUGUGGUGAAGAUAUCUUCAGUAAUGCUAUAAAUAUUCUUUGUAAAUCUAAUUGUCAAAUCUUUAGCAACAUCUAGUUGAUCUUCCUGCACAACCUUGAUAGCCAGAGUUGAAGAAUCAUCCAUUAAAUGUAAAUUCUUUGAUUCUAAGUUGUUAAGUUAUCUUUUGUAUCCAAAAUAUUUAGGUUAUUUGAUUAUUCCACAAGUUUUAAUUUGCUUUCUGUAUAUAAAAAGAUCACUAAGUUUUAAAUUUAUAUUUGAGAAACAUCAUUUUAAGACUAAAACUACAAGUUUAGAAUUACAUUAAUAAUAUUUGAAGUUUAAAUUGUUAGUAUCAAAUUUAAUAUCUAACUUUAAAAUUUAAAAUUCUUUUAAUUGAAGCAAGCAUAAAAAAACUGUAAACAAAAUGUAAAGACACCUAUAGAAUUUCAAUAUAAGAAAUUCAGAAAGCUCUCUCCAUACAAGUCGCUUUCUUCUAAUUAUUGGAAAGGUAAACUCAUGGUAUAUGCUGGUGAAGGAAAGUGAGCCUCACUUCACUUUUUCGAUACCUUUAUUUCUUAUGCAUUGAGGAAGUUGGUCUUCUUUGUAUAUCCAUGCAUAAAUUUACCCUCUGAAACGAAUCUAGUUUCUCUUACUUAGAUUUUUUUCAGAUUAUCCACUGAAAAAAAAACCUUGUAAAAAAGUGAUGAAAUUAAACUUCCAUUCUAAUUAAAAGGUUCAAAUAAUACAAGGAGCAUUAUUAUAUUUAAGAAUAUAAGAAACAAAAUUAAGAUAAGAAAUAAGAUUUUUUAUAUUAAAAAAUUAGAUGGACCUUCAUCAAAAAAUAAAAAAACCUCAUCAUCUUUACCUCAAAAGGCUUUCAAAAUAUAAUCAAGUGACAUAUGAUUAUCCAUAGGGAGACAUCGUGAAAAUGGUAGGCUGUAAUGUGAACAAAACUGUAGAAACCUACUAAAAAAAACGCCAAGGCCCAACAAAACUCUAGGAAUUGGAGACUUAGAUGGAAUAAUAAAAAAAAAGAGUAAAUAGAUUAUAUUGUCCUUAUUUAAAAAUUAAUGGCCGGUAGGGGUAAUUAUUUUCAGUUCGGUUCAGUUUUAUUAAAAAAAUAACCAAACUAUAUAUUUUUUUUAAAAAAAAAAACCUUUUACUAUGUUUAGUUAAAAUUCUUAAAUUUUAGCCCAACAAAACUCUAGGAAUCGUUAAAAUUUUAUGUUUAGUUAAAACAAAACUUAAGAACUUGACCAAAUUUAAUAAAAAAAAACCCAUUUGAAUAUUGGUAUGGAAAACUUGAAUGUUUUCUAUAAAGUUUUAACUUAUCUAUUAUUUGAUACUUGUUGUUAUAGCAUUUCACAUUUUAGUCCUAUUUUUUUUUUUUAAAUUAGUGUCUGAACAUUGAAAAAAAAGAGAAAAAGUUAGCGAAUAAUAUUAAAAAAAAAAAGUACUUUAAUGGACAGAUUUCAAUCAUAAAAAGAUUAACUUUGUGUUAAUGAAUUUAUCUUUUUAAUGAAAGUUUAAUGAAGGUGAUGUUUCAAAACUUGAUCUUUUAUUUUUCAAACACAGGAGGUAACAGGAAAAUGAUGCAGAGGAUAACAAAUAAUUUUUGCAUAAUAAACAACUUGUCUAUUUCAAGAAAUAACUUCAAAAGAAAAAAAAAAAUUAGCCGGGAAUGCUGGCCUGGGCUUCCAGUAUCAAGCACACUUAUGUUUUUUUAUCUUUGGCCGAGCGCGUGGGCUUGGUAUGCUAUUCCCAGCAUUGCUUAAUUUUUUUUAAAAAACAUUUUAUUAAUUUUUAUUUUAAUUUUAAUUAAUAUUCUUUUUUUUUGUUUUUUAAUUGUUUAUUUUAUUUUUUAAAGUAAUUAAUCUUUUAUUUAUUUAUUUUAUAAUGCUUCAAAGACAUUAUUGUAAUUUAUCUUUAAUUUUUUUAAUAUAUUUUAUAUAAAUAAAUUGAAUUUAUAUGACAUAUUUAUAGAUUAAUAAUCAUUUUUUAGCAACUAAAAUUAACUUUAAGAUAAAAAAGAAGAAGAUAGUUAUGGUUAAAUAAUUGCACGUGCAUUUACGUUUACCACACAAGAUUAUUAUGUCCUAAAGAAAUAAGAAAGAUGAAGAAAGGAUGAAGCCACUGUCGGUAAAGGAGAAUCGGCAGAAAGUCUCGAGAAGGAGAAGGUAAAGAUACAAUUUAAUCCAUGGAAUUUAUAAUCAUUAUUGCUUGGUCCUUGGAGUUUGAAUUGUUAUGAUUUGGUCCUUAAUUUUGAUAAUCAGAUUUUAAUUGGGUCCCUAAGAGUUGAAUCAGAUUUCAAGUUUAGUCCCUAAUGAUUAAUUGCAGUUUAUUGGAUACAGAUGUUAUGACUGUAGUACGUAUGGAUAGAUUUAUAACCUAUGGAUUUUUUGAUGAUUAUGUAAGAAGAAUUUCACACAUUCUAUUGUUUCCCAUGUCAUUAUGUUUUCUAUAAACGGGCCGGGACAAGCACAUAGAACAUUAAAAAAAAAAAAAAAACAGGAUGGGCAUUCCCAAUAUAAAAAUACAAAAUUAAAUAAAAAAAAAAAACUCUCCCGAGUUACUUUUCCUGGUAACGUGAAAGUUCAAAAAAAAUUUAAUGACAACUUUUUUUUUAUAUAUCAAGAUGAAUACUAUAAUAUUAAAUUUGAUUAUUUUUGUCAAUAAAAUCAAAUCAAAUAACCAUUUUUUUCUCUCAUUUAUUAUUUUUUAACCUCUCUUUUCACUCUCAAAUUUAAAAACUAAAGUAUGAUUAAAAUAAAAUUUAAACUAACCAUAGAGAAAAUUAGGAAAAAUCCUAAGGCCAAAUCUCUUACAAAAGCAGUGACCCUAAUUUCUUUUAAAAAGGGCUUUCAUUUUUUUUUCCCAUCAAUUUUGAUUCCCUAAUUGUCAAUCUCUUGCAAACAAUAAAGUUAAUAUUUUUUUAUGAUAAAAUUAAGUAUCAAUUUAAAGUCAAAGUUUUUUUUUUUAAGACAUCAAUAACCUGUAAACCAAAACAAAUUAUAAAAUUUUAUUUUUUAAAAAUCUAACAUUAAAAAACUAAAUAAAUUUUUUUAAAAAAAACUAUUAUGGUCCAUGGUCCAAAUGUAUUUGUGUUCCCUGUGAUUAACGUUCAUUAAUAUUCUAAAACAUUAAAAAGAAUAUUAAAAACAAGUUUUUUAACAGAAAAUUAAAAUCAAAAUAUCAAAUUAAUGACUAUUAUCAACAAAAGAAAUAAAAAACAUUAAAAUCAUAGAUUUCGAUCUGGAACAGAAAUGGAAAGUACAAGGCCAGAACAGUAACAUUGAUAUUGCAAAAAGAACCAGCUAGAGCUUCACUUUGGAAAGAAUGAGGUUCCAAAAGUGUGAUACAAAUGCAAUUAAACUCGCACUGUGUAAAAGCAAAUACUUGAGUAGUCUUAUAUAUUCCAUCAACUUUCUACUUAAUCACAAUUCUACAAGUAAUGAUUUUAAAUUAAGCAGGUUUUGAUUUACUAUUAAACCUUUUCAGGGGCAAAACUUUUUUCUUUGAGAACUUAAGUUAAAAAACUAUAGUUAUUAAACCCGGCCUGGUCCAAGAUCCAGGUUCCGGGUUUUGACCGGAUCGCCCGGAUCAAUUCUGUUUUUUUUUAAAUUAAAACGAUAUUGUUUUAGUAAAAAAACAAAAUAAAAGUUAACGGGUCGUAACCGGGUUUUUGACCGGGUCUUGCUGGGUUAACCUACCAGGUCACUCUGAGUUUUUUCUUUCACUAUUUUUUUUUUAAAUCCGGUCUAGUUCCAGCCCCGGAUCGCCUUUGGGUUUCAAAACUAUAGAAAAAAAAUCUAUUUAAGGUAUUUUCGUGCAACAUAGUAAUUUAUUAAAGUUUUAAGUUUUAAAAAAAAUAACAUAAAACAUCCUUGGGCUUCCUGAUAAUUAAACAGUUAAAAUUUUUGGAUCUUUUGACCUAACCUCAGGUACAAUCUGAUGCCAUUGUGGAUCCUGUUCCUUAAAUCUUUGAGUGUACGCACAGUGAGUUAUAUUCUCAAGUUAAGAAUACGGACAAUCAGUCGCCUAUGGAACAUUUUUAUCCUUUUCUUUUAUUGCUCUAUAUGCUUAUUUAGAACCGGCAAUGUGUUCGUAAUUAUUUUUUAAAUAACUUUUCAUGUUAAAAUAUAUAUUAAUAAUAUUUUUUUUAAAAAAAAUUAUUUUUGACAUCAGCACAUCAAAAUAAUCCAAAACAUAUUAAAUUUUAAUAAAAAAAAAAUUUAAAUUUUUUAGAAACGCAGUUUGCACCGCGUUCCCAAACAGUUUCUUAAUCAAUAAAAAUUUUAAUUAUUAAAUAAAAUCUCAAAAUAUAAAUUAUAUUAUUAUUUAACAUAUUUUUCAAAUGAAAAUAAAAAAUAAAAAGACUGAGAUUUGAAAUCAAAACAUUUUAAUUAUCAAAAUUUUAAUAUCAUGUCACGUAAUCCUUCCAAGUUCAAAACUUAAGCCAGAAAAUAAAAAUUUAAAAUAUUAUUUAUAUUAUACUCUUCGUACAACAAAUUGGAGAAGGAUUUGAGUACUCCAAGUAUAUUCAUGCAAGUGAAAUCAAAGUAACAUCUAUAUCACUUCAGAUUCUAUUGAAAUGCACUCUGUUCUAUUCAAAUAAAAGUCCAGCCCCGAUUUGUAGCUGAUUCAAGUGCUAACAUAAUUAUUUUUCUUCUGCUAUGGAUACUCUACUCAUAAAAAUAGACGAUGAGCCUCAUGAGCCAAAUGAAAUGAUGGAUCCUUCAUUAUAUGAAUUUAUAAAGCUUGACAGCGUUGUUCCAUUUAAGAGCUGUGUUCGAAAACGUUCAGCAAAGGAGCUACAGACUCCCGCUGGGAAUUCACUACUUCAUGUAGCUGUAAGCUAUGGAAGUGACAAUAUUACAUCUUAUCUGGCUGAAACGUUUCCUUCUCUAAUCACCAUCCAAAACAGCCAGAAGGACACAAUCCUUCAUCUUGCUGCCAGAGAAGGAAAGGCCAGUCAUACAAUUAAAUCUCUUGCGGAAUCGAAUCCGAGCUUGAUGAGGAAGACAAAUACAAAGGGAAACACUCCUUUGCAUGAUGCAGUGAUCAAGGGCAACAAAGAACUGCCCUUUUUCCUAGUUUCCAAAGAUCCAGAAGUGGCUUAUUACAACAACAAGAAUGGCAGGUCUCCUUUAUAUCUGGCAGUCGAGAACGGCAAUAAGAAAGAGAUACUUGAUUAUCUCUUGAAAACGGAAGCUUCGUUCCCUAUAGAAAGUGAAGAUGGUGAUGCCCUACCAAAAGGAAAGUCACCAGUUCAUGCUGCCAUCGAGCAACGUAACAGAGGUGAUCACAAUGUCUAUACUCAGUAGAAAAUGAUUUACAUACAGACAGUUGUUGCAAACCUAUCAUGUUCAUAUUCAUUUGAAACAAUUUCUUUUGUUUUUCAGAUAUUUUGGAGAAAAUUGAAAAAGCAAAGCCUGAGCUAUUAUGUCUCACUGACAAAGAGUUGGGAAAUUCACUGCAUUAUGCAUCAUCCAGAGGUUUUCUGGAAGGAGUUCAAUUCCUUUUACAAAAGUUUCUCAAUGGUGCUUAUAAAAGAAACCAUGAAGGCAACUAUCCUAUCCAUCUAGCAUGCAAAAAUGACUCUGUUGAUGUAGUCAAGGAAUUUCUGAAGAUUACCCCAUUUCCAAAAGAAUUCCUCAAUGAAAAAGGGCAGAACAUUCUUCAUGUAGCGGCGGAAAAUGGAAAGGGCAAUGUAGUUAGGUACAUACUCAGACAAGAGAAGACGCUCGUAGAACCGCUGCUAAAUGAGAUGGAUGAGGAUGGAAAUACACCUUUGCAUUUGGCAACAAGUCAUGGUCAAUCCGUGGCUGCAUUUGUUCUUGUGCGUGACAAACGCGUUGAUAGUUCGAUUGUUAACAAUGAAAAUUUGACACCAUAUGAUAUUGCUGAAAAACAAUCCAAAAUAGCUGUAGAGCAAUAUGAAAAAACAGAUGAAAUGGUACGCUAUUUGAUCAUCAUUUAUUGAGCUACAAAUGCAUAUAUUUUAGGAGUAUUAUUGAUUUAAUAUUUUGGUAUGUGGGAUUCCUAUUUGUUGCCAGCUUGCUGAGGAUCGAAAGCAGUUUGAUUCAAAGAACAGUACCCCUGCGGACAAGACCAAGGUAUAAGAGUUGUGUUGAAAUUUUCUUUGCUGAAAUUUUAAAUAGACAUAGAUUCCAUUUCACAAAAGGAUAUCAUAUUUUACAUAAUAAAGAAAUAUGUAAUGAAAAAAAAUGGAAAGAGAGCUUAUGACACUCGAGCAAUUCUCUGCUCUAGCAUAAGCUGACUGAAAUUAAGGACUAAAAAUAGGAGUAAUAUAAAAUCAUAUUUUAAAAUUUCAAUUUACAGUUUAAGCUUGUGGUUUUUUUUUUUUUUUUUUAUAUACUCCAUCAUUCUUUAUCAGAAGGCUUCUCGAUCAGUAUAUUGAUGUCAUGUAAUUUGAACAAUUAUGUGUUAUGCAUUGCUUAUAUUCAUUAACAUAAAAUAUUUGCUGAUCACCAGUUUCAGUGGCUUAUAUUGGCUUAUAUUCAUUAACAUAAAAUUGUUUUUGUUUUCCAGGACAAAGUAGUUGAUUCAAAGAAGCAAGACACAAAAAAGGCAUCACGAAAGCACUACGAACUGGUUGAUUAUUAUGGAGCGGUAUUAUUUCUUUUCUUCCUUCCUACUUUUUUCUUGCCAUGCCUAAUCUUUUAAACAUCUAGUUCAAGGCCGAUUAAUUUAGAUUCUAUACAAUUAUAUUAAAAAUUCUGAAAUCAUUCCAGAAUGUUGCUUGUUCUGAAAGAAAAAAAAAAGGGAUUUCAAGGCCAAUGCUUUUGCAUGCGAUUGAGGAAGUGCCAGAAACUCAUUAUUAUGAAGUUUGUUUCCCCUUGCUAUGCAGAUGACAACAUUAUCUAUCUUAUACUUCCAUGCCCGCCCUAAGAAAUCCCUAUAUGAGCGUUUCACUAGUACUCAAGGCAAGCCGCCAAGGAAACAGGAAACAAAGAGCAGGACAGAGAAUCUUCUUGUUGUAGCGGUGCUUGUUGUUGGUGUAACCUUUGCGGGUGCUAUACAGAUGCCACAAUUAAGGUAUAAAAAUAACUCGAGUGAGCAUCUUCAAGAAUUUAACAGCACUGCUACUGCCUCCCGGAACAGCACUGCCUUGGACAGUCCUACUGGGUCAUCUCUUUUGGAUGGUUAUUUAUGUCUUGAUGUGUGGGCUUUAAAUACCUCUGUGGUGGCAGCUAUAAUCCUUCUUUGGACAAACUUGAAUGAUGUCAAGUUUGCACCAUUUGCACUUUGGUUUUCAUCCUUAAUGGUGGGUGGGUCUAUUUACAUGAUGUGUUUGUCAUUCUUUUUUGCCGUGAGCAUAGCAUUAGGUGGAUCCAAUUAUGGGGUGUUCGCGAUCAUCAUUAUAGUGGUUGGGAUCGCGUUUUUCGUUGCUCAAACAUUGCUUUAUAUUCAAUGGAUUCUUCCACCAUCCGUCAACCAAAUUAUUGAAGGAUUGAUCUCGUAUUAUGUCUACUACAUCUCGUUUUUCGUGCUUGUCUACAGUUGGAGGUGGCUGACUGAUAAACUUCCUGAUCUCCGUAGAAAGAAAAGUAACUAUCCAGGUUGAUCUUCAUCAAGAGACGUCAGGAUUCUGAGGGAUUGCCCUCUUUUAAAAGGUUAUUUUUGGGAUGAAUAAACAUCUUGGAAUAUUGUGUGUGCCUAGCUAUUGAAAUAAUGAAUUGAAUGUGUUCUAUCAAUAUGUUCUCUCAUAGAUAAAUAUAUUUUAAGAGAAAAAUGUCAAGUUGAGUUCAUUUUCUUUGAUCAAUAAGUUUAUAUUCUAAUGGAAUGGACAUGAUGUAGUGCUUGAUAAAAAUAACAAUAAUUUAAAUCUUAAUUAUUUUUUGUUCCUAAACUAAUAUAAAUCAUUGAAUUCAGAAUCAAUAGUGAGAUUUAGUGUAUGACUAGUCUAUGGAUCCAAAUCACUUUCUUUUAAUUAGACUCUUCAACUUGUAUUGUAUACUACCAUACAUAGUUCAUCAUUCUUUGACUUGCAUUUUAAAAUAACUCCAUUAAAGCAUUUGUAAUAUUUUUUAAUGAGAGGAUACAUAAGUUCUUAUAAUAUUAAAAGAAAACAAAAAUCGAGAAUAAAAUAGUUGAAGUUUGAUGUGAAGAUCUCGUUCACGGUUUGGAUUUUUAGAAUUAUGCAUUAAUUUUCUUCUUCUUGAUAUUUUUUUAACAAUGAUGGAAUGUAUAUAGCAAGAGUUAAAAAAGGAAAAAGUUAAAGAUAUUAAGCUUAAUUUUGUAAUUUAUCUUGUAUAUGUAAGGUAAUUAAUAAUAAAUUCAUAUUUGUUUUUAUUUAAAAGGAUAUUUCAAAGAUUACAAAAUAAACUGAAGUUUUAAAUGCUUGGUCAAAAAGAUUUUGGCACAAAAAACUUUAUAAAAAAUGUAUUGGAAUAAAAAAAAAUAAUUCUUGGACUUGGAGUUCCAUAAAUUUUUAAAUUGAAAUAAUUUUGUAAGUAAGAAUAAGGUUCCAAACUUAUACACACAUAUAAUAUAUAUUCAAACAUUGCUUUAUAUUCAAUGGAUUCUUCCACCAUGAUCUGUACUAAACCAAAUUCUUGAAGUCAUGCUCUCGCAUUAUGUCUACCUCAUCUCGUUUUUCUUGUUUUUCUACAGUUGGAGGUAGGUCUUUAAGCUUCCUAAACUUCCUGAUCUCUAGAGAAACCGAAGUAACUAUCCAGGUUGAUGUUCAUAAGAGAUGUCAGGAUUUUGUGGAAUUGGCCUCUUUUAAAACGUUUCGGGAUGAAUAAACAUCUUGGGAUAUUGUGUGUGUGUCUAGCUAUUGUAAUAAUAAUUUGAACUUGUAAUAACUUCUCAAUUUCCAGUUGAAAUAACGAAUUUGAUGUGUUCCAUCAAUAUGUUCUCAGAAAUGAAUAAAUUUUACGAGGAAAUUAUAUAUCAUUAGGUUGAGUUUUAGGAACUAAAAGACCAAUGAUUUCAAUCAAAAUUUUCUUUGAUCAAUAAGUUUAUAUUCUAUACUUUCAAAAACACCCUUUUAAAUAUGAAAUUGCUUAUAAACCUUUAAUUGUUUAACUUUUUUCUAAGAGAACUUAUAAAUUUGAACCUUUAUUUCUUUAUUUUUGGAUUGAGAUCAUCGCAUGUUUUCUUCUAUCAUCUUUUUGUUCGUUAAGUUUAAAUCAUUGAAUUCAAAUUCGGAGAUGAUUUAGUGCUUCUUUUUUUCCUCGAAAACAAGCAACUUGGAUUGUAUAUUACCAUAUAUAGUUCAUCACUAGUUUAUUGUACGUGUUUUCAUUGGAGUUAAACCUAAAUUUUUUUAAACAUAAAAAAUAAUAAUAUCAAUUUUUUAGCAUUAUAUUAAAUUUGGUAUAACAAUUAAAAUUUCAAAACAUUUAACCCUAUAUUUUAUUUAACUCAAGUUUUAAAUUAAAUUUUAUAAAAAUUACUCUGACAUGAUCUGUAUAGGUUCAAAAAGAAAAAAAAAAGAAGAUGAAGUAAAGAAUCAAGUCAAGUUCAUCCCGCGACUUCGGCUUGCUUCAGGCGCUAACCACUCGAGCUUAACGUUAGAGUUUGAAACUUUUGAAUUGAAUAGUUAAAUCACCGCGAGAAGAUGAAGAAUCUCAUGACAUCGUGUAUCAUGUUCAUUAAACCAUGGAUUCUCCCAACUGCACGCUGUAUAUGAGUUAUAAAUUCAAGUUAAGAAUUUUCCUCUUUUCCUUUUCCUUUUCCUUUUCCUUUUCCUUUUUUAGAUGCUGCUUUAACCACAGCCAAGAUUCCAGAACGAAAUGGGUGAAGUAUUUGAGUAAUCAAAGUAUCCUUGCAAAUAAAAAAAAAAGUAAGAUUCACGUUACUUCAGAUUCCAUUGACAUGCAGUCUAGCCUAUUUGAAUUAGAAGCCCUGCUGUCUGAUAAGUGAUAGGUAUAGCUGAUUCAAGUGACCUAAUAUUUUCUUUUGCAAUGUCUAGCGCCGUAGAGAUAAACAUAGAUGAAAACUCGAUUCCGAGAGAUCACUUAGAAAAUGCAAUGAUAGAUAGUCAGUUACAUGAGUGUGUGAAGCAGGACAAUACUGAGGCCUUGAAAAGACGUUUCCAGCAACAUUUAACAGAGAAGCUAGUGACUCCCUGCGGGAAUACACUGCUUCACUUAGCUGUAAGCUAUGGAAGUGACAAUAUUAUAGCUUAUCUGGUUAAAGAGUUUCCUUCUCUAAUCACCAUGGCAAACAACCAGAACGACACAGUCCUUCAUCUUGCUGCCAGAGAAGGAACGGCUAUUCAUACAAUUAAAUCUCUCGUGGAAUUGAAUCCGAGCUUGAUGAGGAUGGCAAAUGGAAAGCGAAACACUCCUUUGCACGACGCAGUCAUCAAGGGUAACGAAGAAGUUGCCAAAUUCCUAGUUGCCAGAGAUCCAGAAGUGGCCUAUUACAGCAACAAGAACGGCAGUUCUCCUUUAUAUCUGGCUGUUGAGAAUGGCAAUAAGAACGGGAUACUUGAUGAUCUCUUGGAUUUGGGAGCUUCGAUUCCUAUAACAAGAGAAGAUGGUGAUGCCCUACCAAAACGAAAGUCCCCUGUUCAUGCUGCCAUCGAGCAACGUAACAUAGGUGAUCACAAUGUCAAUACUCACUAGAAAAUGAUUUACAUACGAACAAUUGUUGCAAACCUAUCAUCUUUAUAUUCAUUGAAACAUUUUCUUUUGAUUUUCAGAUCUAUUGGAGAAAAUUGCAAAAGCAAAGCCAGAGCUAUUAUGUCUCACUGACGAAGAGUUGGGAAAUUCACUGCAUUAUGCAUCAUCCAUAUGUUUUCUGGAAGGAGUUCGAUUCCUAUUAAAGAAUUUUCUCAAUGGUGCUUAUAAAACAAACAGUGAAGGCAACUAUCCUAUCCAUGUUGCAUGCAAAAAUGAAUCUGUUGAUUUAGUGAAGGAAUUUCUUGAUAUUUUCCCAUAUCCUAAAGAAUUCCUCAAUAAAAAAGGGCAGAAUAUUCUUCAUGUAGCGGCUGAAAAUGGACAGGGCAAUGUGGUAAGGUACAUACUCGAACAGUAUCAGAAGAUCGUAGAACCACUGCUAAAUGAGAUGGAUGAGGAUGGGAAUACACCUUUGCAUUUGGCAGCA
rnacentral:lncRNA from 1 species